rnacentral:lncRNA from 1 species
AUUCUAGAGGGGACGGCAUAAAGCCUUUCUGGAAAAGGCUUAAGAUCACCAGAAACUCUAGGAGUUGGAGUAAUGCAGACCUCCAUUUUCUUAUACCUGUAGCCACAAAACAAAGUCAUUCCAGGUAAGUACACCUCUUACUUCUGAGCAUAAGUGUUGAUCAAACUUUUAGGAUAUCUAAAACUCAUAGAUACCCUUGUGAGAACUUAAAAAAAGGAUUUCUUGUGUUAAUAUUACAUGAUUUCAUGAUAUAUAAAAUAAUCACAAAUUGGGAUCACGAAGCUUUUAUCAUAACUACAUGCGCAAACAUCAAAGACAUAGAAACAGUAAUUACAUAUUUUGUUUCCAUUGGCUCCUGCAUAACCGUAUGGGACAUGGUACUUGAUUACUGAUUUUCUUAUAAUACAUCAAUUUUUUAAGACAGUUUUGUUUUCCUUUUUUUCCACAACUUUUCUCCCACCUUUUACGUUCAUGUAUGCUUGUGCUUACGGUUAGUAGAAAGAAAUAUAAGGAAUCCUAAUAAAAGAAUGUCAAAAUAUUCAAAUUGUUCAAUACUAAUUAAGGGUCAUACCAGACAUCAUUAGCAUCUGCCGACUCACAGAAUUUUACUCCGGAAUCUUCUUGUCUGCUGCGACAUGAUUCGGAGUCAACAGUUUUUUGCCAAAUAGCAAUUUCAGAUUGUUCAGACUUUUUCUCCCA